AACGAACGCUGGCGGCGUGCUUAACACAUGCAAGUCGAACGAGAAAGUCGUAGCAAUACGGCGAGUAAAGUGGCGCACGGGUCCGUAACACGUGGAUAAUCUGCCUUCGGGUGGGGAACAACUUGUCGAAAGACGAGCUAAUACCCCGUAAGACCACGAGAACUUCGGUUCUUGAGGUAAAAGGUAGGCCUCUACUUGUAAGCCAUCACCUGAAGAUGAGUCCGCGCACCAUUAGCUAGUUGGAGGGUAAUGGCCUACCAAGGCAAAUAUGGUUAGCUGGUCUGAGAGGACGACCAGCGACACUGGAACUGAGACACGGUCCAGACUCCUACGGGAGGCAGCAGUGGGGAAUCUUGGACAAUGGGCGAAAGCCUGAUCCAGCAACGCCGCGUGAGUGAUGAAGGCCGUCGGGUCGUAAAGCUCUGUCGGAGGGAACGAAACGGGACAACCUAAUACGUUGUCCUUUGACGGUACUCUCAAAGGAAGCACCGGCUAACUCUGUGCCAGCCGCCGCCGUAAG
rnacentral:rRNA from 1 species